GAUGAACGCUGGCGGCGUGCCUAAUACAUGCAAGUCGAGCGAACGGACGAGAAGCUUGCUUCUCUGAUGUUAGCGGCGGACGGGUGAGUAACACGUGGAUAACCUACCUAUAAGACUGGGAUAACUUCGGGAAACCGGAGCUAAUACCGGAUAAUAUUUUGAACCGCAUGGUUCAAAAGUGAAAGACGGUCUUGCUGUCACUUAUAGAUGGAUCCGCGCUGCAUUAGCUAGUUGGUAAGGUAACGGCUUACCAAGGCAACGAUGCAUAGCCGACCUGAGAGGGUGAUCGGCCACACUGGAACUGAGACACGGUCCAGACUCCUACAGGAGGCAGCAGUAGGGAAUCUUCCGCAAUGGGCGAAAGCCUGACGGAGCAACGCCGCGUGAGUGAUGAAGGUCUUCGGAUCGUAAAACUCUGUUAUUAGGGAAGAACAUAUGUGUAAGUAACUGUGCACAUCUUGACGGUACCUAAUCAGAAAGCCACGGCUAACUACGUGCCAGCAGCCGCGGUAAUACGUAGGUGGCAAGCGUUAUCCGGAAUUAUUGGGCGUAAAGCGCGCGUAGGCGGUUUUUUAAGUCUGAUGUGAAAGCCCACGGCUCAACCGUGGAGGGUCAUUGGAAACUGGAAAACUUGAGUGCAGAAGAGGAAAGUGGAAUUCCAUGUGUAGCGGUGAAAUGCGCAGAGAUAUGGAGGAACACCAGUGGCGAAGGCGACUUUCUGGUCUGUAACUGACGCUGAUGUGCGAAAGCGUGGGGAUCAAACAGGAUUAGAUACCCUGGUAGUCCACGCCGUAAACGAUGAGUGCUAAGUGUUAGGGGGUUUCCGCCCCUUAGUGCUGCAGCUAACGCAUUAAGCACUCCGCCUGGGGAGUACGACCGCAAGGUUGAAACUCAAAGGAAUUGACGGGGACCCGCACAAGCGGUGGAGCAUGUGGUUUAAUUCGAAGCAACGCGAAGAACCUUACCAAAUCUUGACAUCCUUUGACAACUCUAGAGAUAGAGCCUUCUCCUUCGGGGGACAAAGUGACAGGUGGUGCAUGGUUGUCGUCAGCUCGUGUCGUGAGAUGUUGGGUUAAGUCCCGCAACGAGCGCAACCCUUAAGCUUAGUUGCCAUCAUUAAGUUGGGCACUCUAAGUUGACUGCCGGUGACAAACCGGAGGAAGGUGGGGAUGACGUCAAAUCAUCAUGCCCCUUAUGAUUUGGGCUACACACGUGCUACAAUGGACAAUACAAAGGGCAGCGAAACCGCGAGGUCAAGCAAAUCCCAUAAAGUUGUUCUCAGUUCGGAUUGUAGUCUGCAACUCGACUACAUGAAGCUGGAAUCGCUAGUAAUCGUAGAUCAGCAUGCUACGGUGAAUACGUUCCCGGGUCU
rnacentral:rRNA from 1 species